GGGCCCGUAGCUCAGCUGGUAGAGCAACGCCUUUGCAAGGCGGAGGUCAGGAGUUCGAAUCUCCUCGGGUCCACCA
rnacentral:tRNA from 4 species